GGGGAUAACACUUGGAAACAGGUGCUAAUACCGCAUAACCAUAGUUACCGCAUGGUAGCUAUGUAAAAGGUGGCUAUGCUACCGCUUUUGGAUGGGCCCGCGGCGCAUUAGCUAGUUGGUGGGGUAAAGGCUUACCAAGGCAAUGAUGCGUAGCCGAACUGAGAGGUUGAUCGGCCACAUUGGGACUGAGACACGGCCCAAACUCCUACGGGAGGCAGCAGUAGGGAAUCUUCCACAAUGGGCGAAAGCCUGAUGGAGCAACGCCGCGUGGGUGAAGAAGGUCUUCGGAUCGUAAAACCCUGUUGUUAGAGAAGAAAGUGCGUGAGAGUAACUGUUCACGUUUCGACGGUAUCUAACCAGAAAGCCACGGCUAACUACGUGCCAGCAGCCGCGGUAAUACGUAGGUGGCAAGCGUUAUCCGGAUUUAUUGGGCGUAAAGGGAACGCAGGCGGUCUUUUAAGUCUGAUGUGAAAGCCUUCGGCUUAACCGGAGUAGUGCAUUGGAAACUGGGAGACUUGAGUGCAGAAGAGGAGAGUGGAACUCCAUGUGUAGCGGUGAAAUGCGUAGAUAUAUAGAAGAACACCAGUGGCGAAAGCGGCUCUCUGGUCUGUAACUGACGCUGAGGUUCGAAAGCGUGGGUAGCAAACAGGAUUAGAUACCCUGGUAGUCCACGCCGUAAACG
rnacentral:rRNA from 1 species